rnacentral:rRNA from 1 species
AUUGAACGCUGGCGGCACGCCUAACACAUGCAAGUCGAGCGGCAGCAUGCUUAGUAGCAAUACUAAGUGAUGGCGAGCGGCGGACGGGUGAGGAACACGUAGGAACCUGCCCAAGAGAGGGGGAUAACUAAGGGAAACUUUAGCUAAUACCGCAUAAUCUCUGAGGAGAAAAGCUGCCCGUAAGGGUAGCGCUUUUGGAGGGGCCUGCGUCCGAUUAGCUAGUUGGUGAGGUAAAAGCUCACCAAGGCGAUGAUCGGUAACUGGUCUGAGAGGACGACCAGUCACACUGGGACUGAGACGAGGCCCAGACUCCUACGGGAGGCAGCAGUGGGGAAUCUUGGACAAUGGGGGCAACCCUGAUCCAGCGAUGCCGCGUGGGUGAAGAAGGCCUUCGGGUUGUAAAGCCCUUUAGGCUGGGAAGAAGUGUGCGGGAUGAAUAAUCCUGUACAUUGACGGUACCAGCAGAAUAAGCACCGGCAAACUCUGUGCCAGCAGCCGCCGUAA